AUUGGAGUCUGCAACUCGACUCCAUGAAGUCGGAAUCGCUAGUAAUCGUGGAUCAGAAUGCCACGGUGAAUACGUUCCCGGGCCUUGUACACACCGCCCGUCACACCAUGGGAGUGGGUUGCAAAAGAAGUAGGUAGCUUAACCUUCGGGAGGGCGCUUACCACUUUGUGAUUCAUGACUGGGGUGAAGUCGUAACAAGGUAACCGUAGGGGAACCUGUGGUUGGAUCACCUCCUUACCUUAAAGAAGC
rnacentral:rRNA from 1 species